rnacentral:rRNA from 1 species
UACGUAGGGAGCAAGCGUUGUUCGGAUUUACUGGGCGUAAAGGGCGCGUAGGCGGCAGAUCAAGUCAGCUGUGGAAUCUCCGAGCUUAACUCGGAACUGUCAGCUGAUACUGUUUUGCUAGAGUGCGGAAGGGGCAAUCGGAAUUCUUGGUGUAGCGGUGAAAUGCGUAGAUAUCAAGAGGAACACCUGAGGUGAAGACGGGUUGCUGGGCCGACACUGACGCUGAGUGCGCGAAAGCCAGGGGAGCAAACGGG